ACCGGCGGCUCGAGUGGUGGCCACUAUUACUGGGCUUAAAGCGUUCGUAGCUGGCUUGUUAAGUCUCUGGGGAAAUCUUCCGGCUCAACCGGAAGGCGUCUCAGGGAUACUGGCAGGCUAGGGACCGGAAGAGGUGAGAGGUAAUCCAGGGGUAGGAGUAAAAUCCUGUAAUCCUGGGGGGACCACCUGUGGCGAGGGCGUCUCCCAAGGCAGGCUCGACAGUGAGGAACGAAAGCUGGGGGAGCAAACCG
rnacentral:rRNA from 1 species